rnacentral:rRNA from 1 species
AGCGGUAAGGCCUUUCGGGGUACACGAGCGGCGAACGGGUGAGUAACACGUGGGUGAUCUGCCCUGCACUCUGGGAUAAGCUUGGGAAACUGGGUCUAAUACCGGAUAUGACCACAUGCCGCAUGGUGUGUGGUGGAAAGAUUUAUCGGUGCAGGAUGGGCCCGCGGCCUAUCAGCUUGUUGGUGGGGUAAUGGCCUACCAAGGCGACGACGGGUAGCCGACCUGAGAGGGUGACCGGCCACACUGGGACUGAGACACGGCCCAGACUCCUACGGGAGGCAGCAGUGGGGAAUAUUGCACAAUGGGCGGAAGCCUGAUGCAGCGACGCCGCGUGAGGGAUGAAGGCCUUCGGGUUGUAAACCUCUUUCAGCAGGGACGAAGCGUGAGUGACGGUACCUGCAGAAGAAGCACCGGCUAACUACGUGCCAGCAGCCGCGGUAAUACGUAGGGUGCGAGCGUUGUCCGGAAUUACUGGGCGUAAAGAGUUCGUAGGCGGUUUGUCGCGUCGUUUGUGAAAACCCGGGGCUCAACUUCGGGCUUGCAGGCGAUACGGGCAGACUUGAGUGUUUCAGGGGAGACUGGAAUUCCUGGUGUAGCGGUGAAAUGCGCAGAUAUCAGGAGGAACACCGGUGGCGAAGGCGGGUCUCUGGGAAACAACUGACGCUGAGGAACGAAAGCGUGGGUAGCAAACAGGAUUAGAUACCCUGGUAGUCCACGCCGUAAACGGUGGGCGCUAGGUGUGGGUUCCUUCCACGGGAUCUGUGCCGUAGCUAACGCAUUAAGCGCCCCGCCUGGGGAGU